AGCAGCACUGGGUAGUGAAUGCGAGAAGUGCAGACUUAAGGGUUCCCUCCAGAUAGAGCCUCGGGAGUUCCAUGACUACAUGUCCCAGAAAACCCUGCGCGCGGGUUCUCCUUCCGCUGCUUCCUCCUGACUUCCUGGGAGCUACAGGCCACUCAGACCGGAACGGAAAGUCCGAGGCCCACUAUUCACUUGUCAGAGAUUCUGCGUAGGCGACCCAUUUCCGCACAUGCGCGGUUAAAUAGGACACCUGCAAUUGGAAAAGUAAAGUGUAUAGUCAGAAUACACUAUGCCACAUGAGCAGAUCAUCCUGUGUAUCAGAGACGCAGAACCAGUAAGAGGGCGGGAGCCUGUGUCACAGCGCUGAACACCCACCCACACCUGGCCCAGGAAUCAGAGAAGUCGAAAGGAGGCUCUAAGUCUAAGGGCAUGUGGAGCCAUUGCAGAACCAGCCACUCCUCACACCACGGAGACAUGGCCUCAAGAGGAAAGCAGAUCGGGGAAAGUGGAGAAAUGAGGGCACCCCCUGAGCAGCUGGCUGUGAGGAGCCAUGAUUCUUGUCUGACGCUGCAGGCAAUGGCUGAAAAGCCACCAAGAAU